rnacentral:rRNA from 1 species
GAUGAACGCUGGCGGCGUGCCUAAUACAUGCAAGUCGAGCGAACAGACGAGGAGCUUGCUCCUCUGACGUUAGCGGCGGACGGGUGAGUAACACGUGGAUAACCUACCUAUAAGACUGGGAUAACUUCGGGAAACCGGAGCUAAUACCGGAUAAUAUAUUGAACCGCAUGGUUCAAUAGUGAAAGACGGUUUUGCUGUGACUUAUAGAUGGAUCCGCGCCGCAUUAGCUAGUUGGUAAGGUAACGGCUUACCAAGGCAACGAUGCGUAGCCGACCUGAGAGGGUGAUCGGCCACACUGGAACUGAGACACGGUCCAGACUCCUACGGGAGGCAGCAGUAGGGAAUCUUCCGCAAUGGGCGAAAGCUUGACGGAGCAACGCCGCGUGAGUGAUGAAGGUCUUCGGAUCGUAAAACUCUGUUAUUAGGGAAGAACAAAUGUGUAAGUAACUAUGCACGUCUUGACGGUACCUAAUCAGAAAGCCACGGCUAACUACGUG